GACGCGUUGUCCGCCGCUCGUUUGCCGACCAGCAGUAGGGGCCCUCCGGCCCCCAAAGGCACGUGUCGUUGGCUAAGCCCUCGCGGCGGACGAGCCGCGCGGGCCGCCUUGAAUUACAAUUUCCACCGGGCGGCGGACUGAAUCCUUUGCAGACGACUUAAAUACGCGACGGGGUAUUGUAAGUGGCAGAGUGGCCUUGCUGCCACGAUCCACUGAGAUUCAGCCCUUCGUCGCUCCGAUUCGU
rnacentral:ncRNA from 1 species